AUUGAACGCUGGCGGCAUGCUUUACACAUGCAAGUCGAACGGUAGAGGGGCAACCCUUGAGAGUGGCGAACGGGUGAGUAAUGCAUCGGAACGUGCCCAGUAGUGGGGGAUAGCCCGGCGAAAGCCGGAUUAAUACCGCAUGAGACCUGAGGGUGAAAGCGGGGGAUCGCAAGACCUCGCGCUAUUGGAGCGGCCGAUGUCAGAUUAGCUAGUUGGUGGGGUAAAGGCCUACCAAGGCGACGAUCUGUAGCUGGUCUGAGAGGACGACCAGCCACAAUGGGACUUAGACACGGCCCAGAGUCCUACGGGAGGCAGCAGUGGGGAAUUUUGGACAAUGGGCUCAAGCCUGAUCCAGCCAUGCCGCGUGCGGGAAGAAGGCCUUCGGGUUGUAAACCGCUUUUGUCAGGGAAGAAAUCUUCUGGGCUAAUACCCUGGGAGGAUGACGGUACCUGAAGAAUAAGCACCGGCUAACUACGUGCCAGCCGCCGCGGUAAAAC
rnacentral:rRNA from 1 species